CCUACGGGUGGGCAGCAGUGAGGAAUAUUGGUCAAUGGGCGGGAGCCUGAACCAGCCAAGUCGCGUGAGGGAAGACGGUCCUACGGAUUGUAAACCUCUUUUGCCGGGGAGCAACGGGGUCCUUGCGAGGUCCCAAUGAGAGUACCCGGAGAAAAAGCAUCGGCUAACUCCGUGCCAGCAGCCGCGGUAAUACGGAGGAUGCGAGCGUUAUCCGGAUUUAUUGGGUUUAAAGGGUGCGUAGGCGGGCUGUUAAGUCAGCGGUCAAAUGUCGGGGCUCAACCCCGGCCUGCCGUUGAAACUGGCGGCCUCGAGUGGGCGAGAAGUAUGCGGAAUGCGUGGUGUAGCGGUGAAAUGCUUAGAUAUCACGAAGAACCCCGAUUGCGAAGGCAGCUUACUAAACUGUGACUGACAUUGAUGCUCGAAAGUGUGGGUAUCAAACAGGAUUAGAUACCCGAGUAGUC
rnacentral:rRNA from 1 species